AUGGUGGUAGCCAGCAAGGAGCCGUUCCCGGCGGUGCGCAAGUGCGACGCGUCGCGCCGUGGCGACCACACCGUGGUGUCGGACCUGGACGGCACGCUGCUCCGGUCGCGGAGCGCCUUCCCGUACUACGCGCUCGUCGCCUUCGAGGCCGGCGGCGUGCCGCGCCUCGCGCUCCUCCUGCUCCUGGCGCCGCUGGCCGGGUUGCUGUACCACGCGGUGUCCGAGUCGGCCGGCGUGCGGAUGCUGGUGUUCGCGGCCACCGCUGGCGCGCGCGUGGCGGACAUCGAGUCCGCAGCCCGCGCCGUGCUUCCCAGGUUCUACGCGGACGACGUGCACCCGGACGCGUGGCGCGUGUUCACGGCGUGCGGGCGGAGGUGGGUGGUGACCGCCACGCCCAGGGUGAUGGCGGAGCCGUUCCUGCGGGACCACCUCGGCGCCGACGCCGUCGCCGGCACGGAGCUCGCGACGUGGCGCGGGCGCGCGACCGGGCUGGUGGACUCGCGCCGGGGCGUGCUCGUCGGCGAGAGGAAGGCCGAGGCGCUGAGGGAGAUGGUCGGCGACGGCGACGCGCCGGAGGUCGGGCUGGGCGACCGGAGGUCCGACUACGCCUUCAUGAGCAUUUGCAAGGAGGCGUACCUCGUGCCGCGGGAGCCGGUGGACGCCGUGGGCGCGGACAAGCUGCGGAAGCCGGUGGUCUUCCACGACGGCCGCCUCGUCCAGCGGCCGACCCCGCUGGCCGCGUUGCUCGCCGUGGUGUGGUACCCCAUCGGCUUCCUUCUCGCGUGCGUCCGGGUCGCCGCGGGGUCGCUCGUCCCGAUGCCGUGGCAGUACCACGUCUACCGUGCGCUGGGCGUGCGUGUCGUGGUGCGGGGCGCGCCCCCGCCGCGCCCGAAGCAUGCCGAGGGCCGCACGGGCGCGCUCUUCGCCUGCUCCCACCGCACGCUCCUGGACCCGGUGUUCAUCUCCGUGGCGCUCGGCCGCCCCGUGUCCGUCGUCACCUACUCGCUCUCCCGCCUCUCCGAGUUCCUCUCGCCGAUCCGCACCGUCCGCCUCACCCGCGACCGCGCCACCGACGCCGCCGCCAUCAGGCGCCUGCUCGCCGGGGGCGACCUCGUCGUCUGCCCCGAGGGGACGACGUGCCGGGAGCCCUUCCUGCUGCGCUUCUCGUCGCUCUUCGCGGAGCUCAGCGACGACAUCGUGCCCGUGGCGACGGAGUGCCGGAUGAGCAUGUUCCACGGCACCACGGCCAGGGGCUGGAAGGGGAUGGACCCCUUCUACCUGUUCAUGAAUCCGCGGCCGCAGUACACGGUGACGUUCCUCGACAGGCUGCCGGCGGAGCACACCUGCGGCGGCGGCGGGAGGUCGAGCCACGAGGUGGCGAACCACGUGCAGAGGCUCAUCGCCUCGGCGCUCUCCUUCGAGUGCACCGGCUUCACCAGGAAGGACAAGUACCUCGCGCUCGCCGGCAACGACGGCGUCGUCGGGCCGAGCAAGGGCACGUGA
rnacentral:rRNA from 1 species